rnacentral:rRNA from 1 species
UACGUAGGGUGCGAGCGUUGUCCGGAAUUACUGGGCGUAAAGAGUUCGUAGGCGGUUUGUCGCGUCGUUCGUGAAAACUUGGGGCUUAACUCCAAGCGUGCGGGCGAUACGGGCAGACUUGAGUACUACAGGGGAGACUGGAAUUCCUGGUGUAGCGGUGAAAUGCGCAGAUAUCAGGAGGAACACCGGUGGCGAAGGCGGGUCUCUGGGCCGAUAUUGACGCUGAGGAGCGAAAGCGUGGGGAGCAAACAGG